rnacentral:antisense_RNA from 1 species
GCCAAGUCCUGGACAGUCUUUAGGCCAUCUUGGAAUUACAUUUGGAAAGGUGGUUGUUAAACAUUUCCCAGCACACACCUGGAUCUGCAUCUGCUGUGUCAGUUGAACCACUCACUGGUUCUGUGACCUCAGUUCUUUGUAGACUCUGGAAUGGAGCUGGAAGCUGCAUCUUCAGCACACUAACGCAGGAACAGAAAACCAAACACUGCCUGUUCCCGCUUAGAAGUGGGAGCUGAACGAGGAGAACACAUGGACAUAUGAAGGGGAACAACACACUCUGGGGCCUGUGAGGUGCAGGGAGAGCAUCAAGAAGAACAGCUAAUGGGUGCUGGGCUUAAUACCUGGGUGAUGGGUUGAUGUGUGCGGCAAACCACCAUGGCACACAUUUACCUAUGUAACAAACCUGGACAUCCUGCACAUGUACCCCGGAACUUAAAAAUAAAA